GGGACCGAGGAACGCACUUUUGCGAGGAUGUUGGCAUAAUGGUUGUUUGCGACCCGUCUUGAAACACGGACCAAGGAGUUGUGAAAUUUUGCGAGCAUUUGGGUGUAAAACUCAUAUGCGCAAUGAAAGUGAACGUUGGUAGGAACUUUUUUGUGCACUAUCGACCGACCUGAAUUCGUGAGGGUUUGAGUAAGAGUGAAAUUUCGCUGACCCGAAAGAAGGUGAACUAUUCCUGACUAGGGUGAAGCCAGGAGAAAUCCUGGUGGAGGCUCGCAGCGGUUCUGACGUGCAAAUCGAUCGUCAAAGCUGGGAAUAGGGGCGAAAGACUAAUCGAACCUUCUAGUAGCUGGUUCCUGUCGAAGUUUCCCUCAGGAUAGCAGUAACGAUAACAGUCUCAUGAGGUAGAGCAACGAUUGGAAGCAUGGGGGAAGAAACUUCCUUCCCUUACUCUCGAACUCCGAAUAUGUGAGAAGUCCUUGUUACUUAAUUGAA
rnacentral:rRNA from 1 species